CCAGUGGCUACAUCGAGCUGAGGGGAGAAUCAUAGUACUUAGGCUAUGAAAAAUGUUUGAAAGCAAAGAGAAACGGCCCAAUAGUCGAGGAGCUGGACAAGGACGACAAAAUAUUCCCCCUUUCAGCUCAGCCAGCAGUUGUGGAGAUAACCUGUGUAAGCCCAGCUACAAUAGCUCCUGGAGUAAUAUCAUCCACUCCUGGACUGAUGAGACCUAUUACAGUGGAAACUACACCAACCACCCCUACAAGUCAUGAUGCACCUCUGGAGACUGUCCUGGUGCCUGCGAUAGCAGACCGUGCACCAGCCCCUGCCUCUAUGCUAAUAAGUACACCAACUGUGCUGACACGGCCAAGCAGCCAGGGCUGCAGCAACAGUCAUGUCACCUCCUGGUGUCCUGUCUCCUGCAGGACUCAUCAGACGGUCUGAUCAGCCAGAGACAUGUUCUGACCAAUCAUCCUGAUAGACAACAACAAUCAUCCUGAUAGACAACAAAAAUCAUCCUGAUAGACAAUCAUCCUGAUAGACAACAACAAUCAUCCUGAUAGACAACAACAAUCUCCUAAUAAACCUGGUCAUGACUAAGGUGUCCUCCAUCCUGCAAUAAAUAAUCAUCCUUUGGUUAAGUUGUAAAAUGCAAUUAAGGGACAAUACUUACUCUUUCCCUUUCAGGUUUGUGGCUGCUUCUCUGCCAGUCGUAUAAUGAAAGCAAUUUCUAAACUGUUCUCAGGUGACGUAGGGCAAAGAACCUAUGGUAAAUUCUCCCCUGGCACCCAAUGAUCUUGGCAAAACAGUACGCACAGGGACAAAACUGAUGACUUCAUCUGAGGUGUUAGGUGAGGGGGAGGGAUGAACCAACUGAUAGAGGUCUACUUUUGGUAGGGUCCAACAAGGAAAAGUAAAACUUCACAUACAAUGGAGCCACCCCAACAGAGCCCAACGUCAGAAAGGAUGACCCCCGGGGGCCUCCCAGGUUGCGCAGUGGUUAAGGGCGCUGUACUGCAGCGCCAGCUGUGCCACCAGAGACUCUGGGUUCGCGCCCAGGCUCU